GUUGGUGCCGAUUAGGGCGAGGGUCCACCCGUUCCCAUUCCGAACACGGCAGUUAAGCUCGUUCCUGCCCACGAUACCUGGCUGGCGACGGCCCGGAAAAAUAGGUGGUGCCAACA
rfam:Oscillibacter sp. 1-3 genomic scaffold acPPL-supercont1.9, whole genome shotgun sequence.